UGCGCUCCAGUAAUCAGCCAAUCAAUAACAGCUCCAGCGCCUGAAAGUCAGCCUGUCAGUGACAGCCCCUCACUUAUAGACGACAGCCAAUCUGCCAGUCUUCUCCCCAGUGACAGUGCUUCUGAAAGUCAGCUAACUCCAGUGACCAGGGGUACAACUCACGUCCUGAGUCUCCUACACUCUCACCUCUGGAACAGGCUGGGUUUCUUCAAAACUCAUGCAAGAUCAGCUCAGGCUUGAUAUGAGAGAGACUGUUCCUCCCUUACAAUUUCAACUCUUCCUUGGAGGAAAAUGAGAAGUGCCAGGUUUCUUUCCAGAAUCUUUGGACAAUAGGUGGAGUGGCGGCAGAAAGGGGAAGAAUGGACAUGUGGACCAUUUGGCUGAUCACGUCACUCUAUAGAUGAACUUCUACCACAUUUGAGCGCCCACAUUGAAGACAAAAAUUUGGACAAAACAAAGGAAUGAAUGUUGGACAGAAGUUUCGAAGACCUCUAUGGAAAGAUAAAGCUCUCAGAGGUAUCAACCUCAUAUGAAAGCGUCCUUUAAAAGGUCGUUUUAUUAAGGCUAUGGCAAAGAAAUAAUUUUUGGAAAUGGUAGCUUUCCCAUUAGAUGGAAUGUUUAUUUUCCCUUGAUUUUAAACAGUCUACAGUGUACUUUUAUUUCCUAACUUAUUUAAUUGUCAGAACAGCCCUAUGAGCUAAGAAUUAGCAUUUCCACCCUUGUAGGAGAGCUGGUAUGUCAACCCUUGUCUCUUGAACAUGAAAAUAUAUGUUCCAAAUUAUUAUAUCAGGAAUACAGGAGCAACUCCAUGUAUUUUAAGUAAAGGAAAGUGAGACUCAAAUAUUUUAUCAAAAAAUAAAAUAGAAAACAAAGAAGCAUGAAUUCCAAGCAAAUGCCUUGUUAAAUAGGAUCUUUGUAAGCAUUGCAUCGUCUCCUCUAUCUUUGCAAAUGUCUGGUCUUUUGUAAUAGACUGCAGGUGGGGCAACCUUGUGUUCUCUACAUUAUGCCUUUUCCUGGGAACCGAGAAAAACUAUGUUUCCCAGCCUUCCUUGCAGUUAGGUUGGGGCCAUAUAACUCAGUUCUGUCCAGUGGAAUGAGAGGGGAAGGGAUGUCUUUCACUUUCAGGCCUGUACUUCCUCUACCAUCUUUUUGUUCUGCCACUGAAUCCUUAGAUUCCAGAUUUUCCAGACGCCAUGGCUACAAGACGGAGGAGAGCCACUUGAUCUGUAGGGACUUUGAGUGAAAAUAAAGAAACCUUUAUUGUGUUAAGCCAUGUAGAUUUGGUAGUUGUUACAGCAGCUAGCUGGUAUUAA